rnacentral:rRNA from 1 species
AGCCCUUGACAUCCCGGUCGCGGAUCCCUGAAAGGGGAUCUUUCAGUUCGGCUGGACCGGUGACAGGUGCUGCAUGGCUGUCGUCAGCUCGUGUCGUGAGAUGUUGGGUUAAGUCCCGCAACGAGCGCAACCCUCGCCCUUAGUUGCCAUCAUUUAGUUGGGCACUCUAAGGGGACUGCCGGUGAUAAGCCGCGAGGAAGGUGGGGAUGACGUCAAGUCCUCAUGGCCCUUACGGGCUGGG